UGUGUUUCAAACUCUUAUGAUCGGUAUAGAUCUGAAAGGUCUCUCCGUAUAAGUAGUGGCACAGGUUUUCAAGGCGUGUAUGAUUGCGGCAAGCUCCAAGUCAUGGGUGGGAUAAUUCUUCUCAUGAUUCUUUAACUGUCUGGACCCAUAUGCUAUGACCUUCUCAUACUGCAUCAGGACACAACCCAGGCCUAGAUAGG
rnacentral:lncRNA from 1 species